UCCUACAAUCUCUUCAACUCUUCACAAAGGCAAUCAGGUCCAUGAGCGGUCAGUCACAGUUUAUGCGAAAGGCUUUAAUGCCGCCAAAAUGCAAACGAGGUGAGUCAAGAUGUUUUAUCUUCGAUUCCACUUUACGGAAAAUUUAAAUCGAUAAAAGAUUUCAAACUAGUGAGUUGAUAAACUUAUGAGUCAAACUAAUGAGUUGAUAAGCUUUCUUCUGGUACAUUUGACCUGUUAUGAUAUCAUUUUGGACAGGACCACGUGCUCACUUGUAUUCUCGACUAUCCUUUUUAGCUCACUCGAGUUGUCCUCGUUGAAUGAAGCUGACUCUGGCGUAUGUCAUGAGCGGAGGUGAUUUCGGGUACUGCCCAAACCCUAACAUUUCACUGACUGUGUCUGCAGAUAAUAAAAUCUAAGGCCUCACAGACCUGGUGGUAUCGAUGUUACAAGAUUGAGGCCUCGACAGCGUAAACAGGUCUUCAAAAAGAAAGAAAGAAAAAAACAGACUCGAAAGUAAUUUGGCAAGCUUUGGCAUGGGGAAGAUCCUGGCAGGAAGUAGAGGGAAAGACCUUGUUAAAUCCUCACCCCCAUUGUUCUCUGCAAAGUCUACCGGCCAAGUUGAUCUUAAAAGAAAUUUGUGCGUAAUUUCAUUCAUCUUGGUGAAG